UUUAUACUCCCUCCGUCCGGAAAUACUUGUCAUCAAAAUGUAUCUAGACAUAUUUUAGUUCUAGAUACAUCUCUUUUUAUCCAUUUUGAUGACAAGUAUUUUCGGACGGAGGGAGUAUAAU
rfam:Triticum aestivum genome assembly, contig: Triticum_aestivum_CS42_TGACv1_scaffold_485638_6AS